CUCCCGCCAAGCAUUGGCUCUGUUUUUUCCCUUUUAGCCUUCUGGCGCCCCGCAGAAUUUGGCGCCUGAAGGCUAAAAGGGAAGAAACAGAGCCGACGCUUGGCGGGAG